UUCUCUCCUUCCUCAUGAAGACUUUAUCAACCUGCCUCUGAUUUUACAGCAAACCUUCUGCUGCUCUGAAAGAAGAAACUACAAACCAGGUGUGGAAUUAGUCUGGUUCUGCUGCGGUUCUGUUGGGUCUCAGUCAGAUGUUCUUCUUCAACUCUUUGGAUCGUUUGAACAAACUGUGAAGGUAGAAAGUGUGUGUGAGCUGAUGUGAAUUCAGCAGCAUGGAUCAGU